GCUUACGGCCAUACCACCCUGGAAAUGUCCGAUCUCAUCUGAACUCGGAAGUAAAGCAGGGUCGGGCCUGGUUAGUACUUGGAAGGGAGACCGCCUGGGAAUACCAGGUGCUGAAAGCU
rfam:Danio rerio chromosome 4, GRCz11 reference primary assembly.